GUGGGGAAUAUUGGACAAUGGGCGCAAGCCUGAUCCAGCCAUGCCGCGUGAGUGAUGAAGGCCUUAGGGUUGUAAAGCUCUUUCACCGGUGAAGAUAAUGACGGUAACCGGAGAAGAAGCCCCGGCUAACUUCGUGCCAGCAGCCGCGGUAAUACGAAGGGGGCUAGCGUUGUUCGGAAUUACUGGGCGUAAAGCGCACGUAGGCUGAUAUUUAAGUCAGGGGUGAAAUCCCGGGGCUCAACCCCGGAACUGCCUUUGAUACUGGGUAUCUUGAGUAUGGAAGAGGUCAGUGGAAUUGCGAGUGUAGAGGUGAAAUUCGUAGAUAUUCGCAGGAACACCAGUGGCGAAGGCGGCUGACUGGUCCAUUACUGACGCUGAGGUGCGAAAGCGUGGGGAGCAAACAGGAUUAGAAACCCUGGUAGUCC
rnacentral:rRNA from 1 species